UACCAGACUCCUACGGGAGGCAGCAGUGGGGAAUAUUGCACAAUGGGGGGAACCCUGGUGCAGCAAUGCCGCGUGGGUGAAGAAGUACUUCGGUAUGUAAAGCCCUAUCAGCAGGGAAGAAAAUGACGGUACCUGACUAAGAAGCCCCGGCUAACUACGUGCCAGCAGCCGCGGUAAUACGUAGGGGGCGAGCGUUAUCCGGAUUUACUGGGUGUAAAGGGAGCGCAGGCGGCGUGGCAAGUCAGAUGUGAAAACCCGGGGCCCAACCCCGGGACUGCAUUUGAAACUGCCAUGCUGGAGUGCCGGAGAGGUAAGUGGAAUUCCUAGUGUAGCGGUGAAAUGCGUAGAUAUUAGGAGGAACACCAGUGGCGAAGGCGGCUUACUGGACGGUAACUGACGCUGAGGCUCGAAAGCGUGGGGAGCAAACAGGAUUAGAUACCCCCGUA
rnacentral:rRNA from 1 species